rnacentral:lncRNA from 1 species
GGCCACACGACCUGACGACCCUCUCCUCUUCCCCGACCUGUCCACGCCAGACAUGAGAAGGCUUCGCGCCGCGCUGAUCUGUUUCCGCCCCAGAUUCGUUCUGGUUCGCGAGGUGCGGACGACCUGUAUUAUUAGAGCGUCCUGUUCUCCUGUUUGCUAGAUUUGCUAAUUUUGCCCCAGAUCUGUCCCCGCUUUUGCUGUUAUUAGGUAUAAACGAAAUGUACCACCCGCGUUGGUAAUAUGCAUUGUGUCCUAGAAACAUGGGAUCGGAAUCUAAUUCCAAAGUCUGGGUCAACUUGAAUUGGAGUAGUCUAUUCCAUUCUAGUUCCAGCAGGUGGAGAUUCUCUUAUUUACCCUGGCAUUCGUUUGGACCUGAAAAAUUGGAUUUGUAGUAUAUUCAAGUUCUUUAGAAUUUGAACCCAUCUCUGAAAUCCAAUUCAGUUCUUGGGAGCACAUGUCCUUGUACUAGGAUGCCGGAGGAUCCUUAACGAAACUGUCUGUGAAAAUUCACCUUCAGCCAGCAUCGUACCUGCCCGCUCCAAUCUGGCAGACUGUUUCUGAUGGGAGGGUCUAGAACUCCAGAUUGCCCAAGCACACGAGUGCUAUCAAUAGAAUGCUGCCUAUUUGGAAUUGACGCAUUAUAAUUUUUGACCUGGCUCCUAGUGCAGUAGCUACUGUUAAUCAAGUUACCGUUCCGCCCAAGAGAGGGAGGUGAGGGUAGUAGGCCGAAGGUAAGAAACUUUUGUCAAAUCUUUGAUGGGUGGUGCAAUUGGAAUUGAAAUACCAUGAGCCAGAGUCGGAGGAAGUGAAGCCUAACUUUUAGGGCUUUGUGUCAGAAGAUUUUGUAGGAACUCUGUGGAUCUACAUUUGAUUUGGUCAUCGCAGGAGUAUUUCACGUAGAAAUGCUCUGCUAUAAUGCAACUUGCACCUGGAGAAUAACACACGAUGAGCAUGUUAGGGAAUCAGAGUUAUGUUUAGGAUUGUCAGGUUGUCGUCAAAUAAAGUACCCCUUUAUUAAUUUGGCUGGUAUGUUCCCCUCAUUCUUCUCUUGGAGUCUGCAUGUACUACAUCUUGAGUUGUAUGCAAGUUCUUCAAGGGCUCAAGUUGGCCUUAAGGCCCUGGCAGUAUGCCACAAGCCACCUAUAUAAGUAUGAGGUUAUUGUAAAACACUGGAGUAUUUUUGCAUUGAGUUCAUUAAAAAGAACAGAAAAAACACCAUGUUGGGGUGCACCAAGCUUGUGUGUUUGUAUGCUAAUCCGUGGGGUUGAUCUCAAGGUCAAUUGUGUGCAAGUGUGUAUGUAGUUCUGUUCUUGCUGAUUCCAUGCAAUACCUGAAGGCUGAAGCAUACACUUUCUUGAGGUUUGGUAGAUUGCAGAGUCAACAGUUAGUAAACACUGAACGAAUGUAACUGAUCCAUCGUCUUUUCUUUUACGCAAUCUUGCCUGUCGUAGCACUUGAAAGUCCCUCGAUCCCAUCUACUCCCCCCGUUCACAAAUAUAAGAUGUUUUGGAUAUUUCAAUAUGGACUACAUACCGACUGAAAUGAGUGAACAAACACACUAAAACGUGUUUAUAUACAUUUGAUUCAGAAAAAAGUUAGAACUUCUUAUAUUUGUGAAUGGAGGAGUACUAUUUUGCUGCUUGGUGUUCUAGAGAUUUUCUAUUACCCCAAACUUCCAAAUGUUGGCCAAUCAUAAUAUUUUUGUUCAAUUAAGUUGGUUGUUGAGCCUAAUGUGGAAACCAAGAUAGUUCUGGAAAUCAAAUUGCUUAUACCAAGCAACCAAGCUUCAGAGUUCAGAGAACCAACCAACUGGGAUUAUGGUAACACAGUGAAAGAGACUGAUUAUGUGCUUUUCAUAACAAAACGUUGAUGUUAAUGCUUAAAGAGGAUGGAGGUGAGGGAAAAACUAAACGGAGAAAACAAAAAUGAAAGCCAAUUAAAGAGGCUGAGACUGCCCUGAUGCCUGCUUGUGUCCAUGAAAUAUCAACAAAGCAGUUUUGGAACCGUUUUACUCUUGCCGUCUAAGUUCAUUUUAGCUUUAAGUUUUGCUGAAACCAAUGAGAGCCAAACCGAAGCUUCCCUUUAGAGCUUCUGUGAACUUGCCAAUAGCCCACUAGUGUAAAAUCGCUUACAAUAUACUAAUUCAAGUUCUUGAGUAGUUGAGUUACAGCCUUCCAAACAUACUUCGGAUGAUUAUUUUGAUGUUUUGGUCUCUCCCUGCUUUUGGUGCGGCAUGGUUUGGCCACUAUUUAAUAAACUAGUAAUAAGGCUAUAUGCAUCUAUGAUGAAGGGGCCGGGGGUAAUAAACGCCUCCAUUAUCUAUAAAAAAACAUGUUCUGGAUCUCAUGAGUUUGGCCUAAAUCCAUAUGCUAUCUCUUACCAAAACAAUAUAUAUCAACAGCUGAUAGCAAGUCACUGGGUUUAACCUUUGCAUAAAGUAAAUUUCAAAGUAUACUGUGUUGGAGCACACAAGGUACAAUUAUCUUUGGUAACAAAUGGAGAUCAAUGGUUCAUCUCAUAAUUUUCCUUUCUGUUAUUUACAUCAUACGAGUCUUUUUUUUUCUUCUUCCAGUAAGUACAGUUUUAUUCGUUAUGUACAUUGUCAGAGUUUGAGACUUCUAAUUUUCUUGCAGCUACGGUAGCCUUGCAACUGGAGGUCAUCGGAGAGGGCCCAGAUCUGAAAGUCAUUGUAAUAGAUUGGAGAAAAACAUAUCAUUGAAUGUAAUUGUAUACACAUCCUUCCAAUCAGCGCCUGUAGAAAAUACGGAAAUGUGAUGCUGCAAAGGUCAUGUUGUCUUGCCAGUUCCAUGAAUGAAAUACCAAGGUAAGAUCGCCAAAUUUGUUUCCUGUAACUAAUUCUUCGGACUUAUAUCUUUUCUUCACAAAGUUAUGUUUAUCGUUCGCAAAAGUAUAGUUCACUUAAAAAUAUGAUUUUCCAAAUAUUAUCCAUCUUUCAUUUCUCAGUGAUUACUUAGGUCCAUUGUAUCUAUAGUGUAAAAAGAACACACAAAGCAAUUAAGUUGAUACAUGCAAAUUCUAGUGCGAUUAAUUGCUACUGUUAGGGACUCAUUUUGGACAAGUGCAGGACUGAUUACUUGAACGGAGGGUUGCUGAGUAUCAUUCGUAGUUAAAGUGCAACCUUCCUUAGUUACUAGGUUUUCAUGAUACCUCAAGGAUUAUUAUGUCUGUGCACAGCCGUAGUUACUUAGAAUGGAAUACUGUAGUAAAUGCAAGGCACUAUUAUUGACGGUUUAUGACACUCUAUUUUCAUACAUGAAGAAAUGGAAUUUGAUGUCGUUUGCGGGUUCAACUAUUCAUUUCUAGUAAUUUGGAAACUAAAUUUUGUAAGGAAUUGGGACAGUUAAAUUUACUUCGUAAUAAAUAGCACAAUAGUAAUGUCAAGGAAAAGUAAUAUACCUUGUUGCAAGUCCAUGAUGCAUUUGCCCAUAUCACUUAUUGGGUUAGACUGAAAUUUUAAGCACUCAUCUCCUUUGGAAGACUGACUUCCAGGAAGUACAAGCUGCCAAUUGAAGUUUUAUCGCACGUCAAGAGACAUUUCCAAACAUAUGUGCAUUGAUGUGAAGGAAAAUGCAGCUGAUAUAAAUGGUAAUGGUACACCAAUUUAUGUAUCGGUGCAUUGUUAGAUAAUGUUAAUCAAAUUAUGGUUUUUGUAUCAAUUCCUCGUCAAAUUAUGAUCUUAUAUCACUACAUGUUUAUGAGUUUUCUUCUGUAUAUUACUAAUACAGUGCCUUAAAUUUGUAUGAAGCAGUUGUUUCUCUUGGGGGUGUAAAUAUAUGUAAUGAGUCAUGAACAAAAGGUAUUCCGAAGUCUUUUUAGAUAGUUAUAUAUUGUACUAAAAUUCAUUAAGUUAUUAAAAAAAUAUGAAGAUAUAAAUUUUCAUACAAGACCUUUGUGAUUUUUCAGUUUUGACAUACUGGCACACGUAAAAGAUAAUUGCCUUAUGUAAUUUGAAUUGCAUUGCAUAUCAUAUGAGUGAGUGUAACACACCUCAUGGACAUAAAAGCCAUGCCAACGAAUACAGCUUUCACAGCAUCCUUGCGUCCAGCGUAUUCAAUUGCUAACGGCAGCAUCUCAUACAGCGUCAGAAAUGCCAUUACUCCUCCCACUGUGCAAAAUGGAAAAUUUGAAUAAAUAUUAUGUUACUUACCAAAACUUAUUAACAUUUUUAAACUGUUAGUUUCUCAUUACCUAAUCCAAGUAGACCUUCCAAUAUUUCUGGAUUUAAGUUGCUCGGAAAUAGGUAUGCUGCAAGUAGCACAAUUUUAUAGUCAUUGUUUGAGAUACAAAAGAGGAAAAUAUAAAUUAAGUGCACAAACUCAACGAAACUCAACCUAGGAUGUUACUCAUUAAGGGGAAAAAAUCUGCUUGUAAAGAUAAGUGCUAGAGAAAGAUUAGUCGCAAUUGGUUGUUUGCUUUUAAUGCAGCUCUGCAUCUCAUUGAUUAGAGCAUUUUUUAUGCUCUAGUAUGUGCCGCGAUCCAUUUUCAGUGACUGAGCUUCUCAAACAGGUAGUAACAUGGGUUAGUACAUCAUGACCUCAUGGGGAAAACUCAAUUGCUUUGAACAAGUCACUUGUUAUAGAAUAAGCGGAGUCAACAUACCCACGAUAAUUACACCUACUGGCUCUGCAAAACCAGCAAGUGUUGCUAGUUUGAACGCCUGCCAUUUGCUGCAUCAUAGACACAAAAUAACAUUAUUAUUAAACUGAAAAGCUUAUUUUCUUUCCAAAUCAGUGUGACUAUAAUAUUUAUUAUGAACAUUUAAUGUAUUUUAGCAAUUAUAUGCUUAUUUUUUAUUUAUACAACAAAUCAUAUGCUUCUUUAGGUAAUAACUAGUUCGACUAGCCUUCUGAAUUAAACCAACUAAGCCAUGACUAUUUUCUGAUCAUUAAGAUGAGAUUUGUACAAAAUACUCCUACAUGUAAUUCAGCACUGUCAUAUUAAAAUAUGUACUUCUUUGUUUAGCUGCAAGUCUCCUCAACCCAGAAUUCACAUAUACCAAGAAGACACUAUAUCUAAUAAGUUGAUGAGGAAUGACCAUGCAUACCCCUAUUAAAUGAGAUACUGCAAGCACUUAACUCUUCAAGAGCACAUUAAAGUAGGGGUAGAAUGGAGUAUUGCAUUAACCUAUUGACCCCUUAUGGAUAGUUAUUUCGAAGUUGAGACUUCUCAUGCCAGGGACAGUUAAUAGUGAAGGGGAGAGAGUGUAAAAUAUAUGAUGCAUAUUGCAUAAUAAUUUUAGCUAGUACCUGCAAGUGGCAAAAUAUGCAGGGAGAGCUACAGCAAUACCCUGCACAUGAACAGAAAAUUCCUACAAGUAUUAGCAGAUUCUUUGAUCUUGUAAACUUAGUUAUGUCAUGAGAAAUAUACCAACUUUUCAUAAGAAUCAGUUGUGUAAAACUUCACCAACUAUUGUAUUGUACUAUUAUGUAUCUUAAAAAUGGCAUAUCUGCUAUGCAUUUGCACCUUGAAAAGGUGGGGAGUAUCUAGUCCCAAUUUUGUAUGUUGGUGACUGAUUGAGAUUACGAAUGGAAAUUCCACUUUCAGUUUCCGCCAGAAGGGGUAUAGUUUAGUCAUUGUAGAUACUUAGAUGACAUUUUCUGUUCCAUAGCCAUUCCCUAUUCCAUCUAAAAGCCAUUAUAGAUUCAGUUACCUCCGGGAUGUAGUGUAGAGCUAUAGCAAUAACCAAGUUAAGGCCAACACGAAAUCCCUGAAAGGUAGAUAAGAUUAGUGGGAUAUACAACAAAUAUUACUACUCUUCAUUACUCAGUGUCUUGUUCAUACUUAUUCGAUAUGUUAACAGUGUUAUGGGCUAAAAUAAACAUGUGUCCAGAAUAACAGCAAAAUUGCUAUUCUACUAUAACAUGCACAAACGGAGAUGUAAUAUCUGUAGACACAUGACCCGUAGAUUUUGUUGUAUGGAGUGUUCAAUACUUCUAUAUGAUUUACUCCCUCCAUUCCAAAAUAUAGUGCGCCCGCGCUUCCCGAGGUCCAAUUUUGACCAUAAAUUUAACCAACGAGACCGACUGCGUCGGGAGAAAAAAUUAUAUAAUUGAAAACUUUUGAAUACGAAUUCACUGGUAUAACUUUUGCUCCCGCCGCAGUCGGUCUUGUUGGUUAAAUUUAUGGUCAAAGUUGAAGCACGGGAAUAGAGGAAGCGCUAUAUUUUGGAACGGAGGGAGUAUCAGGUAUAUAAAUUAAUAGAAAUAAUACCAGUCAAUAAUAUAUAUAUUCAAUUACCUGUCAAAAUAUAGUUGAAAUUUAUCAUAAAAAUUAAUUCAAUGGCAAAGGAUAUAUAUACAAAAGCAAUUUACUGUUUUUGUCAAAUUUGGUAGGCCUGCCUAUAAUAUACUGUAUUUUCUCAAAUAUAUACCUUUGCGGUUCCGAGAAACGCUGCAGUACCCACCGGGAAGUUUUGCAAACUCACACCAGCAACUGUUGACAUGAGAACUUCGUUCAUCAAUGCGAUCAUUGAAAAUAAUAAACUUGUAGGAAAGGGGCAUAUAGUUACAUGUAUAUGCAUAUAUUGCCCUACAUAAUUUUGAUAACUUUGUAUUUUCAUGUGCGUGAUUUAUUUUUCUGACAUGCGCACUUUAUGGAAAACUACUGCUGCUAUCACUUGCCAACAUAGAAUUAGUUUUAGGUGUUCAACAGGUGCUGUUGAAAUAUAACUAUUUUCGGUCAUAACUACUUUUACUGCCCGUAUCACUUGUUAAAUCAUGUCUAUGAUCUUAAACUGUAUUUAGGUGUUCAAUUUGAAUAAUUAAUCUAAUAUUUCUGUACACUGUCUUGUAUGAACAAGCCCCAUACAUUUAUUUGGUGUCAAUAUGCUCGAGCUCGGUACUAAAAUAGUAUAAUCUAAAAUAUUAGGUAUAAUUAUAUAACAAAAUCAUCUGAAGAACACCUAUCACCAAAAAUUGGAUUUCUGUAUAAAUUAUUAAAGGGCAUGUUUUCUCUUUACGGGCUCAUGUUGUUGAAAACACUGUGAUGCAUUUUCGGUACUAUAUGUUACAAGUUUUGCAAGUACAUAAGACUUACCAACUGCGGUGACAAUUACACUAAAGAUGACUCUUCUUCGGUGUCUCAUCAUAAGUUCCUUCCGUGCUGUACUGUUAACAGUCUUCUUUCCCAAAUGAAAAAACAUAAUGGAUAAUCCUAUGUUACUUUUUUAAUAAAUGCCGAUUGAAAAAGGCUGUUAGCAAAGUUGAGGGAAUUUAUACUUCUUUGUCAUUUUCAUCAGGUGGGCUGCAUUCUGGCUCAGGGAAAAUAUCGGCUAUUGCUGAAAAUAGAAGUGCUCCAGCAAAAAACUGCAAAGCAAGGAUGAAAAGGGUAAGAAAUGGUACAAAUGCUUUGCAAAACAUCUUGCUUAAAACGCUCACCCAAAGGUUGCCUUUCAGAAAACCAAUUGCAUUAACAGCAUCAUAAGCCAGGUCAAAGAAGGACAUGCUCAACAUGAGCCCAGUAGCAAAUCCCUAAAAAGAGUUGUCAAAACAAUUGUUAAACAUUGAUUUGUGUACAAAUAAACCUAUGUUGUUCUUUAAAUGUGACCUUAUGGUCAGAGUUAAGUAAAUUGUUGUAGCAUUUCACCUGUAGUAUCCCGAGUGUUCUGUUGUUUGGGGCAUGAUUUAGUAUUGCCAGUAGUGCACCUGAUGAGUAGCAAUAAAGUAUCAUUGGCAAAAGUAGUAGGCAAAUGCUAGCUAUCAAGAGGUACAACAUCUUGCAUUUGAUCUCUGCCUAGUCUAUAUCAUUCCAACGCUUUCCAAAUAAAUUAUGGGAAAGCUCCCAUUGAGAAAUAAAAUUGCUUUUGGCUGUCACUUGAGUGAUAGCAAUAAUAGUAUCUAUAAAGCAUCAGCUUAUGGGCCCCCUAUUCACGUUAGAUCCUGGUUAUAUCAUAUUGGGCUGCUUACGAACUUAACACUUAAAGGCUUACUAACUAAACACUCGUCAGUUUUAAAAGCUGGAGCGUUUUUCCAGAAAACUUAAACAUACACCUAAAGGCUAGUUGGUGUCGAGGAUGGGUAGGGUGAGUCGGACACAGUGCAAAGAUGGAGGGGGAUACGAAUUUGGGCGAUGAGUGAGUGGAUUCCGCUGUGGAAGCAGGUGUGCUGAACUAACAGGUAAGGACGUGUAAUCCUCAUGCUCAUGUGUGCUUCAUCGAAAAUAAUGUGUACACAAAUUCUUCCCAUUCUUGGUGUAACAGUAGCAGUCUAUUUUCUCUCAGCUGUUAGAUGCCAAGUAUAAACUGAAAAGAUUGAUUACUCAAUAUUAUGUUUCACUUUGAACAAACUACCAUACUAACGGCCCACAUAACAUUCUCACAGGAUAUAUAUGAAUGCCCCAUGGACCUUGUACAAUUUCGUGCUUAAGAUGUACUGUGAGAAAAGAAUCUUGAUUGGAGCAAGUAAAUGGAAAACCCACACUACCAGUUACAGCUUUUGAAGGGAAACAAUAGCAAAGGCAAUGCAUGCAUCAAAUGAAACACUUGAUGCCAAUGAUGAAUACAUGAUAAUAGUAUGAACAGACAGCAGGAGUGAAGGGCUGAAGGAAGAUGCGUGUAUGCG